CAAUUGUAGGGCACUGCAUGCAACGGACCCUGAUAGCAAUUUUGGCAUACUAUUUCACACAUUUACUCUUCAGUAAACAGGCUAACGAAUUUUCGCAUACAACAUUGUCUCCAAUCAUCCUUCAUUAUAAGGGUUUGAAAACGUUCUGCUCUUGGGUCUUGAGACAUUUGCGUUCGUCUUCCAAGAUUUUUUGCACCAAAGGUGAGUGAUUUAAAAUUUUUGGAUUGUCAGCUUAAAAUUUUAUGUGCCUAUUUUCAUUGCAGGUUCAAAUAAUUCUAAAACCAUGUUUAUGGAAGAAAAAACAAGCUCCCAACUAGGAAACCCAAUGGAGGUAGUACUCUUUUCUUUCUUGCUCAACUUGCUUAAAAAUGAUUUCCUAACCAUUCUUGUUUUUCAUUUAUUUGUUUACAAUUUGAACAAAUUCUUAACUUUUACUGCAACCAUAAUUGAUACCCAUUUUAAUUCACUUUCUGCCAAUAAUGUUUCAGUCUUUCUCCAUAUUUCACACUCGAUUGUUAAUGUGAAAUCAAUAUGCUGACCC